rnacentral:rRNA from 1 species
AGUGAACGCUGGCGGUAGGCCUAACACAUGCAAGUCGAACGGCAGCACAGUAAGAGCUUGCUCUUACGGGUGGCGAGUGGCGGACGGGUGAGGAAUACAUCGGAAUCUACUUUUUCGUGGGGGAUAACGUAGGGAAACUUACGCUAAUACCGCAUACGACCUACGGGUGAAAGCAGGGGAUCUUCGGACCUUGCGCGAUUGAAUGAGCCGAUGUCGGAUUAGCUAGUUGGCGGGGUAAAGGCCCACCAAGGCGACGAUCCGUAGCUGGUCUGAGAGGAUGAUCAGCCGCACUGGAACUGAGACACGGUCCAGACUCCUACGGGAGGCAGCAGUGGGGAAUAUUGGACAAUGGGCGCAAGCCUGAUCCAGCCAUACCGCGUGGGUGAAGAAGGCCUUCGGGUUGUAAAGCCCUUUUGUUGGGAAAGAAAAGCAGCAGGUUAAUACCCCGCUGUUCUGACGGUACCCAAAGAAUAAGCACCGGCUAACCUCGUG